AGAGUGAGAAGAGGAUAAAGAGUUGUUGGGGCUCCUUUAUCUCCAUCUGAAGGAAACCGUACUUGGAAGUCCCAGAGCGAUUGACAAAGAGAUGCAGAGCGCAGCAAUGGGAACAUUCCUCUCGCUGAAAGUCCACCGUGAAAAGAUGCUUGGAAGUCAUUAAAAGUACAACUUGCAGAUAAAAAACACCAGUGGUCAGAAGAACAACAAAAGAGCAUAGAGACCUUUUGGAAACCCACCUUGAAGUCGCUGGGAGCUUGAGUUCCAGACCUGAAACCCCUUCUCUAAGCAGGGCCAAACAUUUCAUCUUCAUAUGAUGGAGUAUAAAUGGCAGUGUGUACACUUAAAACAAAAGGCGGAGUGAUUUAAAGGAAGCCUUGCCGCUUUCCAGUACAUGCUCGGACAUAUCGGAGGCCCUUGUACAGGAGAGCAUAAGAUGACCUGAGAAAGAGAUACGCCAUGACAGUCCAAGAAAGGAGGAGGAUAAACCCAAAGCCCUGCCAGAUGUUGACUUAAAGUUAAGCUGUUUCCCAUCUUUAAAUAUAAUUGAUCUACUUUUUUGGGAGGGGGUGGAAAUGUUUUGAAGUGGUGGGCUAGAUUUCCUAUGUUUCAUUGACAGAUGAGAUUUUUCUGAUUUCCUGGACUUUAGAGUAUAAAAGACCUCUUUCAACUAAGUAAGUUGAUGAUAAAAUCACUGAUGGGAUGAAAAACUGCCAGACCCAGCACCUCCUCAGAGAAGCCCUUUCCUGAUAAUACAUCUUUCCUCUCAAAGACAUUUCAGCCUAUACAAUUAGGGGAAGGGAGUGGGAGCCAUGCUGCUGUGUUCUCCGCGUCAGCAGGAGCUAAAUCACAACAGGAAACGAAACACAUGCAGUCUCUGGGUCCUUGUGGUCCGUGAGCCCGUUCCUAAAAGGGGACCAAAGGUGAAUACAAAAUUCUGGCCGGGAGUUGCUGCCAGCACAUUCGUCUCUAUCUUUGCUGGAUAUUCUGCUUCUUUCAGACUUGGUCAACUUAUCUGUAACUUCCUGCUGCACUUAAGAUACUAUCAAAUGCUGACGAAAGCACAGAUGUUCACCUAGUGAACUGCUGCAUUCUCUGAAGAUAACGCAUAUGAGAAUUUGGGUUUGCUUAGCAUGGUACUAACCAAAUUUCUUGAUUAUUGACUCAAAAGAUGUGGUUUUCCCAUGUAUAGUAGAAUUUUCUUCCUUUAGUAGACUUGAGCUUCUUCGUUAGUCAUUUAUACAUGUUGAAGAAGAUACAUUUUGCUCUCAAUCAAAGGGAAUAUCCUCUAAAGAGAUUUACAAACAUGAACUAGAAGUCAAACAGUAAUUCAACAAUAAAUUGUUGUUUAGUAUUUUAAAAUUUAAAAGCGCUUUUUUUUUAACUUACUAUUAUCUAAUCCUGACCUUACAGUGUUUGUCUGGAUGCUAUGGAACAAGUUUACAAAAAGAAAACCACUUUUUUUCUUAAUCCUCCCAACUGCCUUCAGCAACACUGUUUUGAGGAAUGCACCAGGGGGACAGGGCGGAUUUCCCUUGAGCCUUCUAGCUGCUCCGCAAGAGGACUGCCAUGUUUGAGCAACCUCAUAUACGGGGAUGUCUCUCCACGAUGAGCUUCUUGUGUUAAUUUAUUCUCUGAAGAUAAGUGAACUUAUACUCUGUCCUGGGAUGGCGCCUGGCAAACACAAGAUGAAGGGCCAUCAGUCCAAGAGGCUGGUGGGAAAGACACGGAGCAAAGAGCAACUCCUGCAAAACGUAGGCAGCAUGGUAAAGUGUGUGCUGAAGGAGAAGCCUACAGAGGCUAAGGGAAGGUGACUGUAGAAAGAAACCUUAGAAAGAAGUGCAGUGCAGACCAAGGCGCCCGGGCUAAUUACACAUGGGCACUACACAGAAAGCCAAACAUCAUUGUUGGCUGCACAAUCUGCCUUCUAGACUAAGAUUAAUAAUUAUAUGUUCCAUGUCCCCCUGAUAAAGCUUGACAUACAUGUUUUUCUUUCCUUCAUCUUAUUUCUGUCCUGGCAAGGCUAUCCUGAGACCUUUCUAGCAUCCCUGUGGGGCAUACACAAAAGUCAGGUUCAGCCCGGCCUCCAAGACAACAGAGCUCUUUCCCAAAAGAGGAGGACAUGCUUCUUCAAGAGGGAGCACUAGAUCAUGUUAGAAGAUAAAAAUAACCGCGUAAUACAACACGUGCCCAUGACUGCCAAGAAUGUGAGUACUGUGUGCCCACGAAGCGAUCUCCCAGCUUCUCCCUAACACAAAGCCUGAGUCGAACAUCUUUGAGCUGCAAGGUGCAGGGUGAUUAUUCAGUUCAUUACUUAGUAACUGGAAGUAUAAUUAUCAAGUAAUCUGCAUGAACAUAAUUACGUAUUUACAUAGUCUUCGCCAUGUAAUUACAGAGGAGUUCAGUGAUUAUACAGUACCUCCUUGAAAAAGAAAGUGAUACCAAAAAACAACC
rnacentral:lncRNA from 1 species